rnacentral:rRNA from 1 species
GACGAACGCUGGCGGCGUGCCUAAUACAUGCAAGUAGAACGCUGAAGGAGGAGCUUGCUUCUCUGGAUGAGUUGCGAACGGGUGAGUAACGCGUAGGUAACCUGCCUGGUAGCGGGGGAUAACUAUUGGAAACGAUAGCUAAUACCGCAUAAUAGUAGAUGUCGCAUGACAUUUGCUUAAAAGGUGCAAUUGCAUCACUACCAGAUGGACCUGCGUUGUAUUAGCUAGUUGGUGAGGUAACGGCUCACCAAGGCAACGAUACAUAGCCGACCUGAGAGGGGGAUCGGCCACACUGGGACUGAGACACGGCCCAGACUCCUACGGGAGGCAGCAGUAGGGAAUCUUCGGCAAUGGACGGAAGUCUGACCGAGCAACGCCGCGUGAGUGAAGAAGGUUGUCGGAUCGUAAAGCUCUGUUGUAAGAGAAGAACGAGUGUGAGAGUGGAAAGUUCACACUGUGACGGUAUCUUACCAGAAAGGGACGGCUAACUACGUG